UUCACGGCCCUUUUAAGGGCCAUUUAUUUUCUGAGAAAGUGUCCCG
rfam:Octopus bimaculoides Scaffold16254_contig_19, whole genome shotgun sequence.